UGUAUGGAUCAGAAUGCUUGGCGACGAAAGUGACGGCUGAAAGAAGAGUGCACGCGGAAAUGAGAAUGUUGAGAUGGAUGUGUGGAGUGACGAGAAAGGAUCGGAUUAAGAAUGAGUAUAUAAGGGGAAGUUUGAAAGUAACACCGGUAACGGAAAAGAUGAGAAAGGAUAUGAGAAAGAAAGGAGUGAGUACUGAGGUGACGAAAGAUAGAGGAGAAUGGAAGAGAAAAACAUGUUGUGCCGACCCCACAUAACGUGGGAUAAGGGUAGGAAGAAGAAGAAGAAGAAGAGAUACAGUCAGC